rnacentral:lncRNA from 1 species
CAGCACUUUGCAUCCUAAAAAUCUGACCCCCGAAAGAACAGACACGGGGACAGUCCUGGAUCUCGGGGGGACAGGGAUGGAGGAGCUUCCCGGGGAUCAGGGGGCAUUUGGGGAUUUUGGGGGGGAGCACAGGGAUGGAGGAACUUCCCGGGGAGCAGAGAGAAUUUGGGGAUUUUAGGGAUUUUGGGGAGCACAGGGAUGCAGGAGCUUCCCAGGGAUCACAGGGGAGGUUUUUGGGAUGCAGGAGCUUCCCGGGGGACCGGAGAGGGUUUUUUGGGGAGCACAGGGAUGAGCUCAGCCCCCAGCCCCGAGCACUCCCACCAUCUGCCUUUCCCAGGCAGGCGCUCAGGAAACUUCUCCCGGCUCCAAUUGCUGCGCUCCACCUUUUAUUCUAAUGAAUUCCGCAUCGCCAUCCGGGACCCCGGGGCUCGCAGCCCUGGACAGCCGGACGCUCCCUCGGUGACUGUGACAGUGACAGUGACGGUGUCGGGGCUGUGCGGGCACGGCCUGGCCCUGCUCCUGUCCCCACGCAGCUGCAGCCAGGAGCUCUGUGCUCGGCCAGGAGCCGAUCCCGAGGGGUUGCCCAUGGAAUAGGCUCUUUUCCCGGUGCCUGGGCACAGCGGGAGGCUGGAGUUUGUGCCCUGAUCACGCCCUGCCCCGGAGCCCCCGGCCUCUGCCAUGAAUGAUGCGUCCACCAUGGAUUAUGAACUGCUCUCCCCGUCCCUGGUGGAGCACCCCGCCGGCGCCGCGGGCAUGGACGCCGAGCAGAAAACCGUGUUUGCCUUCGUCAUCUUCCUGCUGGUGUUCCUGGUGAUGCUCAUGGUGCGCUGCUUCCGCAUCCUGCUGGACCCCUACAGCCGCAUGCCCGCCUCCUCCUGGACGGACCACAAGGAGGGCUUGGAGCGGGGCCAGUUCGACUACGCGCUGGUGUGAGGGCGGGGGGCUCGGGGCAGCCCGGGGUGGGGCCGGGACAGCCCCAGGGUGGGCUCAGGGCACCCCAGGGUGGGCUUGGAGCAGCCCCAGGGGGGCUUGGAGCACUCCAGAGUGGCUUGGGGCAGCCCAAGAGUGCCCCCCCCCCCCCCCCCCCCCCCCCCCCCCCCCCCCCCCCCCCCCCCCCCCCCCCCCCCCCCCCCCCCCCCCCCCCCCCCCCCCCCCC